ACGAAUGAGCCUUUUGAUCUUGAAACACACAAUCUUCUCUUCACUCUUCAUCUUUAACUCUUCAAGACUCCAUUCGACUUCACAAAAUCCGCAGACUUAGAAAAGUCCUUAACAAUCUCCUCCUUUGGCGAUUUCGUGACAAAACCUAAUCCAAUGCUCAUACAAUCUUAAAAAUAGAAAAAUAGAAGAUUAUCGCAAUCGCCAAACGACAAUCCCCUACAUGAUCGAUCCAACAAAAAAAAAUUACAAAUUACUCAACCUAAAACAAACUCUAUGACUUAGACAUGAUGGAGUCUUGAAGUCUUGAAAUGUCCUGCAAAAAUAUUCUCCAAAAUACACAAUCAAAACUGAAGAAUUUUCAAUAAAGAACCUAUAAU
rnacentral:lncRNA from 1 species